rnacentral:sRNA from 1 species
UUCUCAGGUCCGUUCUUAACCUUCUAAGAUGUAAACCUUGAAGACUCACCAAGCAAAGAGGUACCCUAAAAUUGAAGUCAGGAUAAGGAGGAGGACUCAGCUUAGUCAUUGAUUGAUCUGCAUUGUGAAAAUUAGGAAACCAGAUGCUCCCAUGUUCUCAAGGACAGCCUUUCUUAAGGAAGUCAGUACGUGGGUAACAUUGACAAGGAGAGGAAGAGAGGAGAGACUCAACCAACUAGAGCAGGGAUAAGGUUUCCCUUGUUCAACUUUUCAGUGUCUGCUGGAACGUGAUGAUUACCUCAUUGUCAGGUAGGAAGUGAAACAUACGAUAUUCUUCCUGGCCUUUACCUUGAGAGUCUUCUGGAGCCUGAAGAGGGUGGGGCAGACAACCAUGGACUGCUAGAGAAUAAACUUUUUCUGAAGCUUCCUAAA